GGGAUAGCCUUUCGAAAGAAAGAUUAAUACCCGAUGGCAUAGUUCUUCCGCAUGGUAGAACUAUUAAAGAAUUUCGGUCAUCGAUGGGGAUGCGUUCCAUUAGGUUGUCGGCGGGGUAACGGCCCACCAAGCCUUCGAUGGAUAGGGGUUCUGAGAGGAAGGUCCCCCACAUUGGAACUGAGACACGGUCCAAACUCCUACGGGAGGCAGCAUG
rnacentral:rRNA from 1 species